rnacentral:rRNA from 1 species
GAUGAACGCUGGCGGCGUGCCUAAUACAUGCAAGUCGAGCGAACGGACGAGAAGCUUGCUUCUCUGAUGUUAGCGGCGGACGGGUGAGUAACACGUGGAUAACCUACCUAUAAGACUGGGAUAACUUCGGGAAACCGUAGCUAAUACCGGAUAAUAUUUUGAACCGCAUGGUUCAAAAGUGAAAGACGGUCUUGCUGUCACUUAUAGAUGGAUCCGCGCUUCAUUAGCUAGUUGGUAAGGUAACGGCUUACCAAGGCAACGAUGCAUAGCCGACCUGAGAGGAUGAUCGGCCACACUGGAACUGAGACACGGUCCAGACUCCUACGGGAGGCAGCAGUAGGGAAUCUUCCGCAAUGGGCGAAAGCCUGACGGAGCAACGCCGCGUGAGUGAUGAAGGUCUUCGGAUCGUAAAACUCUGUUAUUAGGGAAGAACAUAUGUGUAAGUAACUGUGCACAUCUUGACGGUACCUAAUCAGAAAGCCACGGCUAACUACGUG